rnacentral:rRNA from 1 species
AUGCCUUACACAUGCAAGUCGAACGGCAGCACGGACUUCGGUCUGGUGGCGAGUGGCGAACGGGUGAGUAAUGUAUCGGAACGUGCCUAGUAGCGGGGGAUAACUACGCGAAAGCGUAGCUAAUACCGCAUACGCCCUACGGGGGAAAGCAGGGGAUCGCAAGACCUUGCACUAUUAGAGCGGCCGAUAUCGGAUUAGCUAGUUGGUGGGGUAACGGCUCACCAAGGCGACGAUCCGUAGCUGGUUUGAGAGGACGACCAGCCACACUGGGACUGAGACACGGCCCAGACUCCUACGGGAGGCAGCAGUGGGGAAUUUUGGACAAUGGGGGAAACCCUGAUCCAGCCAUCCCGCGUGUGCGAUGAAGGCCUUCGGGUUGUAAAGCACUUUUGGCAGGAAAGAAACGUCGCGGGUUAAUACCCCGCGGAACUGACGGUACCUGCAGAAUAAGCACCGGCUAACUACGUGCCAGCAGCCGCGGUAAUACGUAGGGUGCAAGCGUUAAUCGGAAUUACUGGGCGUAAAGCGUGCGCAGGCGGUUCGGAAAGAAAGAUGUGAAAUCCCC